CUAAACCUACGGGAGGCAGCAGCCGCGGUAAUACGGAGGAUGCGAGCGUUAUCCGGAUUUAUUGGGUUUAAAGGGUGCGUAGGCGGCAUUAUAAGUUAGUGGUAAAAUAUUGGGGCUUCACCUCACUACGCCAUUAAUACUGUAGAGCUAGAGAACAGACGAGGUAGGCGGAAUAAGUUAAGUAGCGGUGAAAUGCAUAGAUAUAACUUAGAACACCGAUAGCGAAGGCAGCUUACCAGACUGAGUCUGACGCUGAUGCACGAGAGCAUGGGUAGCGAACAGGAUUAGAAACCCCUGUAGUCCGC
rnacentral:rRNA from 1 species